ACGGGAGGCAGCAGUGGGGAAUAUUGGACAAUGGGCGAAAGCCUGAUCCAGCGACGCCGCGUGAGUGAAGAAGUAUUUCGGUAUGUAAAGCUCUAUCAGCAGGGAAGAUAAUGACGGUACCUGACUAAGAAGCACCGGCUAAAUACGUGCCAGCAGCCGCGGUAAUACGUAUGGUGCAAGCGUUAUCCGGAUUUACUGGGUGUAAAGGGAGCGUAGACGGCAUGGCAAGUCUGAAGUGAAAGCCCGGGGCUCAACCCCGGGACUGCUUUGGAAACUGCUAAGCUAGAGUGCAGGAGGGGUAAGUGGAAUUCCUAGUGUAGCGGUGAAAUGCGUAGAUAUUAGGAGGAACACCAGUGGCGAAGGCGGCUUACUGGACUGUAACUGACGUUGAGGCUCGAAAGCGUGGGGAGCAAACAGGAUUAGAUACCCUGGUA
rnacentral:rRNA from 1 species